GACGAACGCUGGCGGCGUGCCUAAUACAUGCAAGUAGAACGCUGAAGGAGGAGCUUGCUCUUCUGGAUGAGUUGCGAACGGGUGAGUAACGCGUAGGUAACCUGCCUGGUAGCGGGGGAUAACUAUUGGAAACGAUAGCUAAUACCGCAUAACAGUAGAUGUUGCAUGACAUUUACUUAAAAGGUGCAAUUGCAUCACUACCAGAUGGACCUGCGUUGUAUUAGCUAGUUGGUGGGGUAACGGCUCACCAAGGCGACGAUACAUAGCCGACCUGAGAGGGUGAUCGGCCACACUGAGACUGAGACACGGCCCAGACUCCUACGGGAGGCAGCAGUAGGGAAUCUUCGGCAAUGGACGGAAGUCUGACCGAGCAACGCCGCGUGAGUGAAGAAGGUUUUCGGAUCGUAAAGCUCUGUUGUAAGAGAAGAACGAGUGUGAGAGUGGAAAGUUCACACUGUGACGGUAUCUUACCAGAAAGGGACGGCUAACUACGU
rnacentral:rRNA from 1 species